rnacentral:sRNA from 12 species
CCUUUGGAGCGUUACAUCAAACGAGAGUAGCACUACUGGACUUGGUUCAGGAGCGAAAUUGGACGCGAUGAAUGAGGAA